UACGUAGGGUGCGAGCGUUGUCCGGAAUUAUUGGGCGUAAAGAGCUCGUAGGCGGUGUGUCACGUCGGCCGUGAAAACCUGCAGCUUAACUGUGGGCGUGCGGUCGAUACGGGCAUCACUGGAGUUCGGCAGGGGAGACUGGAAUUCCUGGUGUAGCGGUGAAAUGCGCAGAUAUCAGGAGGAACACCAAUGGCGAAGGCAGGUCUCUGGGCCACAACUGACGCUGAGGAGCGAAAGCUAGGGGAGCAAACGGG
rnacentral:rRNA from 1 species